CGGCUCAGUAACACGUGGAUAACCUACCCUUGAGACGGGGAUAAACCCGGGAAACUGGGUAUAAUACCCGAUAGAUCUCGACUGCUGGAAUGCAUCGAGCUUGAAAGCUCCGGCGCUCAAGGAUGGGUCUGCGGCCUAUCAGGUAGUAGUGGGUGUAGCGUACCUACUAGCCUACGACGGGUACGGGUUGUGAGAGCAAGAGCCCGGAGAUGGAUUCUGAGACACGAAUCCAGGCCCUACGGGGUGCAGCAGGCGCGAAAACUUUACAAUGCUGGAAACAGCGAUAAGGGGACCUCGAGUGCCAGGUUACAAAUCUGGCUGUCGUGAUGCCUAAAAAGCAUUGCAUAGCAAGGGCCGGGCAAGACCGGUGCCAGCCGCCGCGGUAACACCGGCGGCUCGAGUGGUAACCGUUAUUAUUGGGUCUAAAGGGUCUGUAGCCGGCCGGAUAAGUCUCUUGGGAAAUCUGGCAGCUUAACUGUCAGGCUUUCAGGAGAUACUGUCUGGCUCGAGGCCGGGAGAGGUGAGAGGUACUUCAGGGGUAGGGGUGAAAUCUUGUAAUCCUUGAAGGACCACCAGUGGCGAAGGCGUCUCACCAGAACGGACCUGACGG
rnacentral:rRNA from 1 species